rnacentral:rRNA from 1 species
ACGAAGGGGGCUAGCGUUGCUCGGAAUUACUGGGCGUAAAGGGCGCGUAGGCGGAUACUUAAGUCGGGGGUGAAAGCCCAGGGCUCAACCCUGGAACAGCCUUCGAUACUGGGUAUCUCGAGUACGGGAGAGGUGAGUGGAACUCCGAGUGUAGAGGUGAAAUUCGUAGAUAUUCGGAAGAACACCAGUGGCGAAGGCGACUCACUGGCCCGUUACUGACGCUGAGGCGCGAAAGCGUGGGGAGCAAACAGGA